rnacentral:rRNA from 1 species
UGGGGAAUAUUGCACAAUGGGCGCAAGCCUGAUGCAGCAACGCCGCGUGAGGGACGACGGCCUUCGGGUUGUAAACCUCUUUUGGCAGGGAAGAAGCGAAAGUGACGGUACCUGCAGAAAAAGCACCGGCUAACUACGUGCCAGCAGCCGCGGUGAUACGUAGGGUGCAAGCGUUGUCCGGAAUUAUUGGGCGUAAAGAGCUCGUAGGCGGUUUGUCGCGUCUGCUGUGAAAACCCGAGGCUCAACCUCGGGCCUGCAGUGGGUACGGGCAAACUAGAGUGCGGUAGGGGAGAUUGGAAUUCCUGGUGUAGCGGUGGAAUGCGCAGAUAUCACGAGGAACACCGAUGGCGAAGGCAGAUCUCUGGGCCGUAACUGACGCUGAGGAGCGAAAGCAUGGGGAGCGAACA